rnacentral:rRNA from 1 species
AUCAAUCAAAGAUCUCUAUUUCAUCUUCCGGAGUGAUUCUUCACAGGAAAUAUAGGAGUAAAUCAGGAAGAGCAAGUGAAAACAGAGAAGGAAAAGCCCAUCGAUUGAGAGAUGCGAAAAGGGAAAAAGGUACCAUGCGUUCACUUACUCUUGCACUGGAUCGAGCGGCAACUGCUGCUGCUUUUCAUCACAUCGCUAGCGGCGCCCCCGUCCGUGCGCCUUGGCUGCUCCUCCACGGGACAGAAUGGCCACCGCGCUGCACGCGCCCGCGCCGUUGGAUGCACCCUCCCGUGUGGAGCGCCCGCGCCCGUCCGCGUCGCGUCGCGCCCUGCGCCCGGCUGCCGCCCGCAUUGCGCCAUGCACCGCGCUCCGGCCGCUCUGGCACAUGGAGCCCAGAGGCACUCGGACUCUUGAAUGGCGCCUCCAACGCGUCGCGCCUACUCCGAGGACGAGCGGGGCGGGAGAUCCUCAUGCCGCCGGUGGUGCGGCCGACCGGCCGUGGGCGUCUCCGCCUGUGCCCAAUCGGGCCGGCACGCCCUCCCCGGAGUCCUCUGGCACAGCCUUCUCCGGCCUCCAACGCGAGGCUCGGUGGCGUUCCGCCCGGGUCGUGGUCUCUCCACGAGUUGCCGGAGAAACGGCCGACCGGCCAUGGCAGUCGCCUCCCGCGUCGGUCGUGGGGAUUGGGG